CGAAGCAGAAGCCGAAAGAGAAGCCGAGAUCACCAGAGAGCCCAGAUAGAGUGAAGAUUUGCUGGGGGCUGGGAGGCCUGCCAGCCUCCCGGCCCCCCAGCACCCCUGCCUGCCAUACGCCUGGUGAACCCCAACAAAAGACCUGCAAAACCACUAAGGACUCUGACUCCUCCUUUACCCGGUCUGCAUGGGAUCAGGAAACCUGCUCUGUGUCCUGUCCUGUCUUUGCAGUCUGCUUGGAUCAUAGAGAUCUGCUCUUUGCCUUCCUGCCACUACAAUUGUUCUGACGGGUUUAGAGAUUAUGGGAUUGAUUGUAAAACUAUGGUUUAGAAUAAUCAAAUACUGAAUCGGGUCAACAGAAUGGUGGAUAUAUGGUUGACCUGGAACAAAACAGUUCUGAACUGCGCUGCUCCACUUAAACACCGAUUUUCUACUAUUAGCGACUGGGCAUUCAAGGGUUCAACCACGGCAGGUGCCUGUAAUUAAAUCCCGGAAGCAGAAGACCCGGGUUGCCCCAAGGGCCGACUUUAAGGUACAAGUGGAUUUUCAACUUGCAGGCUGUCGUCACACUCCUGACACCCAGGUUGUUCAAGGCUCAACUGUAUUUGUCCAACUGGGGUUCUGAACUUCUUGAUCUUCAGUUCCAAUCUUGGUGAAACUUCUGACCUGGUCCCUGGAGAAUGAAUUCUGCCUUUGAGAUGGUCAUAGAUAGAGAGAAGCAGUGAGAGUUAGCAACUGCUGGUGCGCUGAAUGUGGAGUUUGUACAGCAGGAGUUGGAGCAAUUUACUGUGGGCUCACAGCUUCCAGGAGAUGUAGACAGAAGUCAAG